rnacentral:rRNA from 1 species
UACGUAGGGCGCAAGCGUUGUCCGGAAUUAUUGGGCGUAAAGAGCUCGUAGGCGGCUUGUCGCGUCGGAUGUGAAAGCCCGGGGCUUAACCCCGGGUCUGCAUUCGAUACGGGCAGGCUAGAGUGUGGUAGGGGAGAUCGGAAUUCCUGGUGUAGCGGUGAAAUGCGCAGAUAUCGGGAAGAACACCCGUGGCGAAGGCGGUUCUCUGGGACGGUACUGACGCUGAGACGCGAAAGCGUGGGGAGCGAACAGG